CAGGACCCAGGUUAGAGACGCACCCUAAUACUGACCCUGAAACAUACAUCAUCCCCACUGCCUCAGGACCCAGGUUAGAGACGCACCCUAAUACUGACCCUGAAACAUACAUCAUCCCCACUGCCUCAGGACCCAGGUUAGAGACACACCCUAAUACUGACCCUGAAACAUACAUCAUCCCCACUGCCUCAGGACCCAGGUUAGAGACGCACCCUAAUACUGACCCUGAAACAUACAUCAUCCCCACUGCCUCAGGACCCAGGUUAGAGACGCACCCUAAUACUGACCCUGAAACAUACA